UACAGAGGUCUCAAGCGUUGUUCGGAUUCAUUGGGCGUAAAGGGUGUGUAGGUGGCGCGCUAAGUCGGGUGUGAAAUUUCGGAGCUUAACUCCGAAACUGCAUUCGAUACUGGCGUGCUUGAGGACUGGAGAGGAGACUGGAAUUCAUGGUGUAGCAGUGAAAUGCGUAGAGAUCAUGAGGAAGACCAGUGGCGAAGGCGGGUCUCUGGACAGUUCCUGACACUGAGACACGAAGGCCAGGGGAGCAAACGGGG
rnacentral:rRNA from 1 species